rnacentral:rRNA from 1 species
CCUACGGGAGGCAGCAGUGGGGGAUAUUGCACAAUGGGGGAAACCCUGAUGCAGCGACGCCGCGUGAGUGAUGAAGGACUUCGGUAUGUAAAGCUCUAUCAGCAGGGAAGAAAAAGACUGUACGUGACUAAGCAGCCCCGGCUAAAUCCGUGUCAGAAGCCGAGGUAAUACGAAGGGGGCACGCGUUCUCCGGAAGUACUGGGGGUAAAGGGAGCGUAGACGGUUUUGUAAGUCUGGAGUGAAAGCCGAGGGUCCAACCGCGGGGGUGCAUUGGAAACUGGAGAACUGGAGUGCAGUAGAGGCAAGCGGAAUUCCUGGUGUAGCGGUGAAAUGCGUAGAGAUCAGGAGGAACACCGGCGGCGAAGGCGGCCUGCUGGACUGAAACUGACGCUGAGGCGCGAAAGCGUGGGGAGCAAACAGGAUUAGAUACCCUUGUAGUC